rnacentral:rRNA from 1 species
AAUGGGCGCAAGCCUGAUCCAGCAAUGCCGCGUGGGUGAAGACGGCCUGCGGGUUGUAAAGCCCUUUAGGCGGGGAGGAACGGUCGGGUGCCAAUACCACCCGGCGCUGACGUUACCCGCAGAAUAAGCACCGGCUAACUCCGUGCCAGCAGCCGCGGUAAUACGGAGGGUGCGAGCGUUAAUCGGAAUUACUGGGCGUAAAGCGUGCGUAGGCGGUAGCGUCAGUCAGCCGUGAAAGCCCCGGGCUUAACCUGGGAACGGCGGUUGAGACGGCGCAACUAGAGUGGGCUAGAGGAUCGUGGAAUUCCGGGUGUAGCGGUGAAAUGCGUAGAGAUCCGGAGGAACACCGAUGGCGAAGGCAGCGGUCUGGGGCCACACUGACGCUGAGGCACGACAGCGUGGGGAGCAAA